ACUCAAAUGAAUUGACGGGGGCCCGCACAAGCGGUGGAGCAUGUGGUUCAAUUCGACGCAACGCGAAGAACCUUACCUGGGCUCGAAAUGUAGUGGAAUCGGGUAGAAAUAUCCGCGUCUCGCAAGAGACUGCUAUAUAGGUGCUGCAUGGCUGUCGUCAGCUCGUGUCGUGAGAUGUUGGGUUAAGUCCCGCAACGAGCGCAACCCUUAUCUUUAGUUGCCAUCAGGUCAAGCUGGGCACUCUAACGAAACCGCGUAGGAUAACUACGAGGAAGGUGGGGAUGACGUCAAGUCCUCAUGGCCUUUAUGUCCAGGGCUACACACGUGCUACAAUGCGCGAUACAAAACGUCGCAAACCCGCGAGGGGGAGCUAAUCGGAAAAAGUCGCGCUCAGUUCGGAUUGGAGUCUGCAAUUCGACUCCAUGAAGCUGGAAUCGCUAGUAAUCGCGGAUCAGAACGCCGCGGUGAAUACGUUCCCGGGCCUUGCACACACCGCCCGU
rnacentral:rRNA from 1 species